AUAGUGCAGCAAUAAAAAAUGUCUGGUCAAUAAAUGAAAAAGUUAACUUCAGGCUCAGGAAUAGAAAAUGAAAAAUAGUAAGUGUGAUAACCAGCUCCAACACAAUUUUUUUUGGUGAUUUUAUGCUAUUAAUAAGUGCUGGUCAAAUAUGCAAGCUCUCACAAUCAUACACUAAAGAGUUAUAUAGUAUAACGCGAUAACUAUAGAGAUCCAAACAAUGCUAUGCAUAUUAUAUGCUCCAAACAAAGCACUUUUCUGUUCAUUUUGGAAAUAUGCAAGAAUAGAACAUCAUUUAACUCCACCAAGAAUUCAAGUACGUAUAAUGUAUCCUUCUUUUAUGUUUGGGCAAUUGAUUUUGUCCUGAUCUCUCUCUUGAAAACUUAAUAACUAUUGUAAUUUACCAGUUCUAACAUAGUGCUCAUUCCCAAGGUUUCAGGAUAUUGCUAAAAGGUAAGUGUGUUCUUCAUUAUCAAGAGCAAUGAGCAUAAAAUGCACUUCAGCUGCAACAGCCACUAACAACUAUAAAAUUUUAAAUUCACAAGAAAGACAACAUAAAGCUCCCCAUGAAAAUGUUAUGAUUGAAAAAGGAAAAAUAAAGUAGCUUCCCUGUUACACAGUUUAUGACUUCAAUAAUCAGCAAUUUAAAUGUAAUGUCAAACAAAAUCUCAGAGCAACAAUUGAAAGGAUAAAUCACAUAUUUGUGAAUUGUAAGCUGGUUACCUUGUCCCCGAUUUCAGAAACAAAUAUUAACGUG
rnacentral:misc_RNA from 1 species